AGCAGCCGCGGUAAUUCCAGCUCCAAUAGCGUAUAUUAAAGUUGUUGCAGUUAAAAAGCUCGUAGUUGAAUUUCGGGGUCAGUAGGUUGGUCGUGCCACCGGUACGUACUGGUCUCACUGAUUCCUCCUCCCUGAGGAACCGUAAUGCCAUUAAUUUGGUGUUGCGGGGAAACAGGACUGUUACUUUGAAAAAAUUAGAGUGUUUAAAGCAGGCUAACGCUUGAAUACAUUAGCAUGGAAUAAUGAAAUAGGACGAUCGAUCCUAUUUUGUUGGUUUCUAGGAUUGACGUAAUGAUUAAUAGGGAUAGUUGGGGGCAUUAGUAUUCAAUUGUCAGAGGUGAAAUUCUUGGAUUUAUUGAAGACUAACUACUGCGAAAGCAUUUGCCAAGGAUGUUUUCAUUAAUCAAGAACGAAAGUUAGGGGAUCGAAGACGAUCAGAUACCGUCGUAGUCUUAACCAUAAACUAUGCCGACUAGGGAUCGGAUGAUGUUAAUUUUAUAAUGACUCAUUCGGCGCCUUA
rnacentral:rRNA from 1 species